rnacentral:misc_RNA from 1 species
AACGCACAUUGCGCCCUCUGGUAUUCCAGAGGGCAUGCCUGUUCGAGCGUCAUUUCAACCCUCAAGCCUAGCUUGGUGUUGGGGCACUACCUGACUGUUUUACGGGACGGUAGGCCCUAAAAUUUAGUGGCGAGCUCGCCAGGACUCCGAGCGCAGUAGUAAAACCCUCGCUUUGGAUCGUACUGGCGCGGCCCUGCCGUAAAACCCCCAACUUCUGAAAAUUUGACCUCGGAUCAGGUAGGAAUACCCGCUGAACUUAA